rnacentral:rRNA from 1 species
UUUUGGACAAUGGGCGCAAGCCUGAUCCAGCCAUGCCGCGUGAGUGAAGAAGGCCUUCGGGUUGUGAAGCUCUUUCGGCGGGGACGAAACGGUUCGUGCUAAUACCACGGACUACUGACGGUACCCGCAGAAGAAGCACCGGCUAACUACGUGCCAGCAGCCGCGGUAAUACGUAGGGUGCAGGCGUUAAUCGGAAUUACUGGGCGUAAAGCGUGCGCAGGCGGUUUGUUAAGACAGGUGUGAAAUCCCCGGGCUUAACCUGGGAAUUGCGCUUGUAACUGGCAGACUGGAGUGUGGCAGAGGGGGGUGGAAUUCCAAGUGUAGCAGUGAAAUGCGUAGAUAUUUGGAGGAACACCAGUGGCGAAGGCGGCUCACUGGCCCGAUACUGACGCUGAGCACGAAA